rnacentral:lncRNA from 1 species
GGGGGGGUGGGCUACAUCCUGAGCGGCGCCGGGAAUUUCAUGGAGGAUUCGCGGCCCCACCUCGGCUCCGUCCCCCCCGGUUCCCUCCGCUUCUUCUUCGGGAGCCCCGCGAGCCCCGGGGGCUUCGCCCACCUGCGCCUGGAGCCCGGCGCUGCCACCGUCACCUUCCUGGAGGCCACCGGGCGCGUCCUGCACCGCGUGGUGCUGCCCCCCCGGCAGCUCUGAGCCCGGGGGGCGCGGGGACCCCUCCCCGGGGGACAUGGGGACACCGGGACCCUUCCCCUGGGGACAGCGGGACACCGGGACCCCUCCCCUGGGGACAUUAGGGACACCGGGACCCCUCCCUGGGGGACAGCGGGACAGCGGGACCCCUCCCAUGGGGACAUCGGGGACAUUGGGGACACCGGGACCCCUCCCCUGGGGACACCGGGACCCCUCCCCGGGGGACACUGGGGACAUCGGGACCCCUCCUCUGGGGACAUCGGGGACAUUGGGGACACUGGGGACACCGGGACCCCUCCCCUGGGGACACCCCGUGACCCCUGACCCGGGGGGACAUUUGGGACAUUGACCCCUGACCUGGGGGCACCUGCGACCCCCGCCUGGGUUUCCCCCUUGACGAUGACCCCCAAUAAAGCCAUUGAACGGCGCCCCCGCCA